UACGUAGGGUGCGAGCGUUGCCCGGAUUUAUUGGGCGUAAAGGGCGCGUAGGCGGUGCCACAAGUCACCUGUGAAAUCUCCGGGCUUAACUCGGAGCCUGCAGGCGAAACUGUGGUGCUGGAGUGUGGGAGAGGUGCGUGGAAUUCCCGGUGUAGCGGUGAAAUGCGUAGAUAUCUGGAGGAACACCGGUGGCGAAGGCGGCAUCCUGGACCGACACUGACGCUGAGGCGCGAAAGCUAGGGGAGCAAACGGG
rnacentral:rRNA from 1 species